rnacentral:tRNA from 2 species
GUCCCUAUAGCUCAGUCGGUAGAGCAGCUGCCUUUUAAGCAGACGGUCGAAGGUUCGAUCCCUUCUGGGGGCA